UACGUAGGUGGCAAGCGUUGUCCGGAUUUACUGGGCGUAAAGAGCGCGCAGGCGGUCGUACAAGUCGCGUGUGAAAGCCCCCGGCUCAACUGGGGAGGGUCACGCGAUACUGUUCGACUCGAAGGCAGGAGAGGGAAGUGGAAUUCCCGGUGUAGUGGUGAAAUGCGUAGAUAUCGGGAGGAACACCAGUGGCGAAGGCGACUUCCUGGCCUGUUCUUGACGCUGAGGCGCGAAAGCUAGGGUAGCAAACAGG
rnacentral:rRNA from 1 species